AAGCCAUACAGUUGCUCAAUCUUCUUUUUUUUUUUUAUUGUCAAAGGUCAGUUUGAAACAUUUUUGUCAGAUUUUGAGAGGCAUUCGUCACGCUCAUUCCGCUCACCGUUUACAGGUUAG